CUCAAAGUUAACUAAACCCAUUAAAUGGCUAACAUGAUAAUGUAAAUAUCUAUUAGCUAGUUUAGGCUACAAAUCCACUCAGUGAACAACAUAACGCUCUUUUUUUUUAAAAAAGCAGAAUUUAAUAUUUAAAAAGGCUUUUGUACAAAGAUACAAAUACAACAUGUAAUAUCUUUCAAAAUAUGACCACUCACACCAUUUUAAACAUUAAGAACAAACCUUCUAGACAGAUAUAAAAACAACAACAUAAUUCACAAAAGCAUAACAAGAGAUCAGUGGUUUGGUCUCUUUUUAUGAACUUCUCUUUGUAGAAAAGAAGAAUUCCAAAAAGUUGGUCCAAUAAAAUCACAGUCAUUUGACAUUUAUCUCAACCAAGGAUGGUAUUUUUUUACUCUCAUGUCAUAAAUGUUAUGGCAUUAUCAAGUAAAGACUUGUGCAUUGUGUAACAUUGCGCUACACCGAUUUUACCAUGUAACGCCCCCCUUAAAAAGAGGAGGACGGGACUUCUGUGAAGAAGUGCUCCAAGAAUUACUGAACACUUUACCUGAAUGUUCUUCCAUGAAAAGAAAUCAGCAUAACAUUAAGUGUUGAAAUUGCUCAGAUAUUAAAACAAUGUCACGUUUCUGUGACAAGUGUUUGAUAUUGUGCAAGGAGGAACACCAAGUAAAGUACUUUACAACGUUCUAAAAUCCACAUCUACAGACAUUUCAAUGUCUUUGCCAAAAGUGAGAGAAGACUAACCUACCAUGGAGCUUCCAUACAAUAUGAUUUUUUUUUUCCAUUUAGAAAAAUAGUAUCUUUCAAAGUUGGUUGUGAUACCAACUGUUCAUAAAAUCAGCCAUCAGUGCAAUAGUUUAAAACAUUCUCAAGUAUAAAUGAUGCAUAUUUCUAUACUGGCUUUGAAUGAUACUUCAUCAGUGUUUUCUCACAAACCUCUAAACUUAGAACAGUUUUCCAGCAUUAGCAAUGAAACUGGGCAAAACAAACAAAAACAAAAAAAAAACAGGCCUAUGUACUUCAAUAUGCAGUGCAUUGUAUAGACAUGUGUAAUACAACAUGUUUCUGUGAAUCUGCUCAACUUUAAGGUUGAAACGAAUAAGUUAUGUUGAGUGAGCAGCCUAACAUUUAAAAUGGCUAUAGCUUAAAACAAUAAUGGUGACAGGCUUGGCCCUGAAAACACCGUCAUUUAAUAAUUAAGUAGCUUGUGCCCAAAUCCCCUGUUGGUGUGAAUUUAGAUUUGAUAUAAUCGUCUUUACAUUGUGUUCACAUUGUGUUCAAGUUAGGGGGAAAAAACGUUCAUAAACACUAUCGAUUUCCAGUUUCUAACAAGAUGAGGCUUCCAUGUACAACAAUUGCUCUUUAAAAGCCACGGAACAAAUGCAUAUUUCGCUGGAGGUCCUGAAUCUUUUACUGUGUGAACGUCUCCACACCGAUUUUGAGGUAAGA
ensembl:lncRNA